CUGUUGUUUGGAUCUUGGUUGCACUUGCCCAUGCUGUCUUCAUGGACAAAGGCCUCUGUUUUCCAGGUGGGGUUGAACAAUGGGAGUCCACUGUUGUACCAAAAAAAGGACAAACCAGAAGUAACUACAGGAACAAGCAACAGACUUCACACAAGUUUGAACCUGACCCCUAAACUGUAACUGUGAGUUACACAAGCUAAACACUGGAGUACCCUAUUUUCCCAAAGAUUUUCAAAAAUCAUAAAAAUAGCCACAAUUGUAUUCAGUAGUUUUCAUCCAGUUGUGACCAAAUACAGCAUCCAGGCCUUUUUUGCACUGGGGCACAGCUGGAGGUAAUUGGAAGCGAUUAGCACCAGCUGUGAUUACUUUUCACCUGCUAUAAAAGCUCGGCUGGUCGCUAUCCUUCACAUCUGUCGCUGGCACAAUGGCUGAUGUUUGGGCCUUUGUGCUGCUUGGUCAUCCUGUCUUCAUGGACAAAGGCCAUUGUUUUCCAGGUGGGGUGAAACAAGAAGGGUCCAGAGACCAUAUUGAUCAAUUACAUGUUAGUAAUAAGUUUUUUUUUGUUGUUGUUUUUUUUUAUUUAUUUUUGCUACAGAUGUAUCUCAUGAUUGUUUCACUUACGAGACGUGUUAAACUCAUUGAUUCUUUGGAUUCUACAUUGACACUACACACUCCAGGUGAGACUGUUGGAUGACUUGGGGUCAUUUGAGCCAAACCAUACUUAACAGAUCUCACUUGUCACCACCAAAUAAAUAAAACUAGCAAGAUAGCAUUGGUCUUAUACCAAUGUGGACCUGUUUAGUUGUGAACUAUAACUAACUUAAAAAUUCCAUUUUUUUUUUUAUUUAUAUUUUAUAAAGUUACCUGUACUUCAGGGGCCUUGUCAGUUUUUGUUUUUUUUUUUUUUUAAUAAAUUGCCCAGAAAAAAUGGUCAACAUGGUUCUUUAACCUAACUUUCUGCUUAAAGGUAGCAAGAAUUUUUUUUUUUUUUUUUCUGCUCAAAUACUUGGUUCAUAACUGCUUCCACACCCGACUUCAUGUGAUUUAUAGAUUGGUAAUUAUACAAUGUGCUUAUCAAUGGCAUAUAUUUAAGACUAGUCUAUUUUAGUACCCCUUCAAUUCGGUUCAAUGAUAACUAAUGUAGCUUUUUGACAAGCCCAACCUGCAACCAAAGAGGUGAGCGGCAAGGGCCAACUGCACGACACGUUGAAGAUAACGUGAGCGGCAAGGGCCAACAGCACGACGCCUUGAGCUACAAGGUGAGUGGCAAGGGCCAACCGCAUGACCAACAGAGCAACAACAUGACCAAGGGUCAGCAUAAUGACUUUCAGCAGGUCCAGCAGAGUGUCAACCAAAACACCACAAUGAGCCACAACCAACAGCAUGAGUUCUUUCAACAACUCCAGAGUGUCACACUGGAUGAUGACCUCACUAAAGGCUUCAUUGUGAAUAUUUGAGGUGUACAGCAUGAAAGAGCUGUUUUAUGCAUCUUGUCUGACAAUAAUUUAAAUUCUUAACCGCACCAUAUUGUUUUUGAAAAUGGAACUGUUUUGUUCAGCGGUCUUAAAAUCCUUGCAUAACUCACUGCAAUGAUUCGAUGUAGUUAAGGUUAGUGCUUGUCACGAGGUCACGUAGCCAACUGUUGUAUUACGACAAAGUUGACUUCACAAUUUCAAUUGAUCCCAAUCUAUGGCAUGGAUUAGGCCCUACAGAGUGUUAUUGCACUUAGUCUAUAAAGUUGCAUGCUGAUCAAACUUUGUAUGACACUAUAGGCAUAGUGCUAAUUUUGGGUUAUUGCAAGUUGGAAGUGGGCUGAAAUCAGUUUAACAAUUUGAGAGCUGCUUGUAUAAUUUAUUUAAAACCCUUCCACUCACCACAGACUCUUU